UCCCUCCCAAUUCCUGUGUAUCUUGCUCACCUCCAAAAUCAAUGGUUAAAUCCAGUUGAUAGUGCUUAAUAUCAGGGUGUGCAAUGGUGCCAUAUCAAGGCCAAGUAGCCGCCUCCUUAGGAAUUUGGCAAUAGGCUCCUUCUUUUCCUUCUCUGCCAUUUUUUCCCCCCACAAAAUAUAAAGAAUGAAACUAUAAAGCUUAUGUUAUGAAGUCUUGUUUAUUAGGAUGAUCAUAAG
rnacentral:lncRNA from 1 species